GAUGAACGCUGGCGGCGUGCCUAAUACAUGCAAGUCGAGCGAACGGACGAGAAGCUUGCUUCUCUGAUGUUAGCGGCGGACGGGUGAGUAACACGUGGAUAACCUACCUAUAAGACUGGGAUAACUUCGGGAAACCGGAGCUAAUACCGGAUAAUAUUUUGAACCGCAUGGUUCAAAAGUGAAAGACGGUCUUGCUGUCACUUAUAGAUGGAUCCGCGCUGCAUUAGCUAGUUGGUAAGGUAACGGCUUACCAAGGCAACGAUGCAUAGCCGACCUGAGAGGGUGAUCGGCCACACUGGAACUGAGACACGGUCCAGACUCCUACGGGAGGCAGCAGUAGGGAAUCUUCCGCAAUGGGCGAAAGCCUGACGGAGCCACACCGCGUGGGUGAUGAAGGUCUUCGGAUCGUAAAACUCUGUUAUUAGGGAAGAACAUAUGUGUAAGUAACUGUGCACCUCUUGACGGUACCUAAUCAAAAAGCCACGGCUAACUACGUG
rnacentral:rRNA from 1 species